AACGAACGCUGGCGGCGUGCCUAACACAUGCAAGUCGUGCGAGAAAGUUCCUUCGGGAGCGAGUAAAGCGGCGCACGGGUGAGUAACACGUAGGUAACCUGCCCCCCCAGUCUGGAACAACUAGAGGAAACUCUAGCUAAUGCCGGAUGAGACCACGAUCCCUUCGGGGGUUGCGGCCAAAGAUGGCCUCUACUUGUAAGCUAUCGCUGAGGGGAUGGGCCUGCGGGCCAUUAGCUUGUUGGUGAGGUAACGGCUCACCAAGGCUGUGAUGGCUAGCUGGUCUGAGAGGAUGACCAGCCACACUGGGACUGAGACACGGCCCAGACUCCUACGGGAGGCAGCAGUGGGGAAUAUUGCGCAAUGGGCGAAAGCCUGACGCAGCGACGCCGCGUGGGGUGAAUGAAGGCC
rnacentral:rRNA from 1 species